GAUGGGUAAUUUUGAGAUCCUGACAUUGGUGACACUGGUAAUAUUGAUAAAAAGUGGGAUGUAAAUAUAUGGAAAUGAUGCCGAGGAAAACGCUGAAGAAUUUCGCUUUGUGUGGCAAGAACAUCUGAAAGGGCUUGAUUGCCAUCAUUUCAAACUGAUGACCACAUUCAAGAAGACUAAGGUUGGAAUGAAAACUAGUGACCUUGAGGGAACAGCUGGGUAUCACACAGGGACAUCACUGCUGGAGAUCAUUGCCCACAGACUUACAGUCUCUGAGACAAUGGAGAGAACAUAAAGGCCAGCAUAUAGCAUGCAAUGAUGCAACAUAGCACCACAGAAUCUACAGGCCGAGAAGUACAAAGUGAUGUGCAUUGUGAAGCCACCACAAUGAUGCAUGAAGAUAUGGACGGACUAUUAGGGAUAUCCUGAUCACAUUGUGCUGAAAAAAAGGGGAACUACUAUCACUACGACAUUCUGUUCAAUGGAACAUCAACAUUACUGCUUCACCCUUGUAUGGCUGAAUCUAUCUGAUGAAAAGGGAAAAGGAAUGAUGUCUUCACGGGCAACAUCUUGCGCAAGGAAACAUUCUCAUUUCUGCAAUCAAUGCUUCCGCUGUUGUAUGGUCCAUCUGUGGCCUCACCUCCUCACGGUAUCCCAUCUCCACAAAAUUACAUACUUUAUGUUUGAUUUUAGCUCCUUGUUUCAGUUUGAAGUUCUCUUUACUAUGAUAUGUGCAAUCGAUGCAAGUAGCACCAUUUCUUGCA